rnacentral:rRNA from 1 species
AUUGAACGCUGGCGGCAGGCCUAACACAUGCAAGUCGAGCGGCAGCGGGAAAGUAGCUUGCUACUUUUGCCGGCGAGCGGCGGACGGGUGAGUAAUGCCUGGGAAAUUGCCCAGUCGGGGGGGAUAACAGUUGGAAACGACUGCUAAUACCGCAUACGCCCUACGGGGGAAAGCAGGGGACCUUCGGGCCUUGCGCGAUUGGAUAUGCCCAGGUGGGAUUAGCUAGUUGGUGAGGUAAUGGCUCACCAAGGCGACGAUCCCUAGCUGGUCUGAGAGGAUGAUCAGCCAAACUGGAACUGAGCCACGGUCCAGACUCCUACGGGAGGCAGCAGUGGGGAAUAUUGCACAAUGGGGGAAACCCUGAUGCAGCCAUGCCGCGUGUGUGAAGAAGGCCUUCGGGUUGUAAAGCACUUUCAGCGAGGAGGAAAGGUUGGUGCCUAAUACGUAUCAACUGUGACGUUACUCGCAGAAGAAGCACCGGCUAACUCCGUGCCAGCCGCCGCGGUAAGAC